CUUGAUCGAGCCGAGCAGCAGCGGCUGUUCGGCGGGGCGUUCCUGCCCGUAGGUGGCCAGCAGCGCCUGCGCCUC
rnacentral:antisense_RNA from 1 species